CCUUAAGGCCAUACCACCCUGAACACGCCUGAGUUCGUCUGAUCUCAGCCACUAAGCAGGGUCGGGCCUGUAAGCUAGGGGUGGAGGUAGGAGRUCAGAYGGUUUUUGGUU
rnacentral:rRNA from 1 species